GACGAGCCACACGAACGUUAUUCGGAAUUACUGGGCUUAAAGGGUGCGUAGGCGGUGCGGAAAGUUGGGUGUGAAAUCCCUCGGCUCAACCAAGGAAGUGCAUUCGAAACUGCGAAGCUUGAGUACUUAAGAGGAUCGCGGAAUUCCUGGUGUAGCGGUGAAAUGCGUAGAGAUCCGGAAGAACACCGGUGGCGAAGGCGGCCUGCUGGGCAGUAGCUGACGCUGAUGCGCGACAGCGUGGGGAGCAAACAGG
rnacentral:rRNA from 1 species